AUGACGUCAUUUUUGAGCACUGUUUCAAUGGGGGUAUUUAAAAGCACGCGUAGCCCUGUCGUUCAGGCACGGUUUCUUGCGAAUGUUUCAAAAACCGUAAUUUUGAUCUUAACCUUACUUAGCCUUGUGGUCUUGUGACAUACAACAACAAAGUCAGCUUUCUUAACCAGUUUGGUGUACCUUUUGAGUGGAUUGCAAGACAGGCUCGGCGGAAAUGCUCCAUCUCUG